AUGGAGCUGCCGCCGCUCAAGCUCAACGCCGCCCGAGGCAAGGACAGGAUCAGCGCACUUCCCGACGAGCUCCUCCUACGGAUCCUCGAGCGGCUCGGCCUGCGCCGGGCGGUCCACGCCGGCACGGUCUCCAAGCGGUGGCGGCACCUCCCUCACCAGCUUUCCUUCGUGGCACUCGACGCCCGCCGCUUCCCCCGCGCCACGCUGGUCGAAACCAUGGAUGCGUUCACGGCCGCUUUGACGUCCGUCUGUGCCCAGCGCAACUGCGAGUGCCAGUGCGGCCGUGCCAUGGCCAUGAAGCUCAUCGACCUCCACUUCUUCCUGUCGUCGGCCUCUCAUCUGAGCUCCAUCGGCAGCGCCAUCCAAGACAUCGCCAGCCACGGCAAGACCAGACACCUCGCCUUCCAAGUAUCCCCGCCCCCAGGGGUAAACUCCGGCCCGCAGAUCCCCGAGCUAGGGCAGCAAUUCAUGUCCUUCUCCCGCACCUACCAGCCGGCCUUCCGCUCGCUCACGAGGCUGCGCCUCAAGAGCCUUGCGUUCGGGGACUCCGACGUCGCCGACCUCAUCACUGCUUCCGAUAAGCUCGAGCAUCUCAACAUGAACUCCUGCGGACUGGUCGAUAGUGCCACGUGCUAA
rnacentral:rRNA from 1 species